UACGUAGGGUGCAAGCGUUGUCCGGAAUUAUUGGGCGUAAAGAGCUCGUAGGCGGUCUGUCGCGUCUGCUGUGAAAACUCAGGGCUUAACCCUGAGCUUGCAGUGGGUACGGGCAGACUAGAGUGCGGUAGGGGAGACUGGAAUUCCUGGUGUAGCGGUGAAAUGCGCAGAUAUCAGGAGGAACACCGAUGGCGAAGGCAGGUCUCUGGGCAUAACUGACGCUGGAGGAGCGAAAGCAUGGGGAGCGAACAGG
rnacentral:rRNA from 1 species